UUCAUGUGGUCACAAAUGGAAAAUAAAAACAUACAGAACAUAGUAUUACCUUUUAGGAGUUUGGCUACCCUCCCAAGGAAUAUAGGAAAAAAAUAAAAGUUUAUUUUGAAAGGGCAACAGGAGGAAAAGGACAACGAUUUUUUGCUGGUAGCAUCGAGCUAAGGCUAACAAUGUGCGUUCAUUGGCUAGUUGGUCCACACAGACAGUUAAAUGGAGGGAUGUCCCCGAAUAUUUCCAGACACCUGUGGUCACUGACGGAUGAAACCAACUUCCUUUGAUUGUCUACCACUUGAGGUUUUGUGUGAAAUGUCAGACAUCUCUCAUUUCCUGGGCAUCAAAUACUGCUGUUUUUUUUUUUUGUUGUUUUUUUUACCAAAACACCUGAUGUCUAGAGAUGCAUGCAAGGAGGUCUUUGUGGUGUUAAACUGAGUGUGAGAAUAUUGGGCAAAUGCCACCUUUUCAAAGUGUGAAGGAGGCAGGAAGGAAAUUAAACACCAGACAUUCAAACAGUAGUCUUCUGUUUGUGCACCAAUUUAGAGUUUUGCAUUUUUACUCAGUGUUGGGUUGGUUACGAUUAGCCUUGGCUGUGAGAGCCAUGAAUGCCAAAAGGCACCUCGAGCGCCUCUCCAGGAUGCCCGCAGCUGCAUCAAAGUGGCAGUGCCGCAUUGUGUCGUAACAGGAACAGGUCAAGGAUGGCCAUAAAAUUAGACUUUCGCAUCUUCUUUGUCAGCUUCAGGGAGACACUUUGCUGUCUGUGUAGUUUCUGUAGAGAGGUUACUCAUUUCAGUUUUUAUGAUUUAUUUAAAUUAAAUUUCAGUUUUAGUUACCAUUCAUAAAUUGUAGGUGUAUACGUCUGGUUCAAGAUGUAAAACCUUUAGAGUGGGAAACAGUCAUGUGUCCCCGGUCUCAAUGAAAGUGAAACACUUUUACUCUUUUAAUUUAUUUGAUUUAUUUACUAAUUCAUUCUAGUUUUAUUUCCCUGGGAGAUCUCAUUUACAAGAGAGGCCUGGCAAUUUUAACAACCUUAAAAUGCACUGAAUACAACACAAAAUCAUGUAGAAAUACUCAAAACACAACAUCUAGGCUAAUAAAAUCAAAAGCAGUUGUAUGUUGACUGUCGUAGAUUUCCCACAUAUGCACUGUUACGAUUCGGUGUUGUCAGUGUUUUGUUUUAGGCGUGACGGUUGUGUUUCCUGCUUUACUUUGAAAGUCUGUCUUAUCUCAGUGUGUUCAGUUUACGCUUCCUUGUCUCGUCAGUUCUGAUUUGCCCCAGCUGUGUUUCCCUCCUGUUGUCCAUUCCCUGAUUGCUCCCUCUAUGUAUUUAAGCCCUGUGUUUCAGUUUGUCAGGUUCGCGAUCUUCCCCCGGUUGUAAAUAGUUUGGUGUUUUGAUGUAAAUAAAUGUCUUAUUUUGCUUUGAUGUAAAUAGUUGUCGAUCCUUUCGUUUUGGGAUUUUUUUUGUGGAGACCCGUAGUAGUUUUUUUUGUUUUGUUUUGUUUUUCCCUUAUUUUUAUUUUUUCUGUGUUGCACGCCGGUUGCCUAGGCCGUGGUGUAACAUAAUGGGGGCUCGUCCGGGAUCCGCUGGAGGGUCCGAGGGACCGCUCCAGCCUUCGUCUACCUUCGCUGGAGGGUCCGAGGGACCGCUCCAGCCUUCGUCGUCUUCGCUGGAGGGUCCGAGGGACCGCUCCAGCCUUCGUCCGCCUUCGCUGGAGGGUCCGAGGGACCGCUCCAGCCUUCGUCUGCCGUCGCUGGAGGGUCCGAGGGACCGCUCGAGCCUUCGUCUGUCUUCGCUGGAGGGUCCGAGGACCGCUUCAGCCGUCCGUCUGUCUUCGCUGGAGGGUCCGAGGACCGCUCCAGCCUCCGUCUGUCUUCGCUGGAGGGUCCGAGGGACCGCUCCAGCCUUCGUCCGUCUUCGCUGGAGGGUCCGAGGGACCGCUCCAGCCUUCGUCAGUCUUCGCUGGGGGGUCCGACGGACAGCUCCAGCCUUCGUCUGUCUUCGCUGGAGGGUCCGAGGGACCGCUCCAGCCUUCGUCUGUCUUCGAUGGAGGGUCUGAGGACCGCUUCAGCCGUCCGUCUGUCUUC
ensembl:lncRNA